rnacentral:rRNA from 1 species
AUACAGAGGGUGCAAGCGUUGCUCGGAUUUACUGGGCGUAAAGCGUACGCAGACGGUGAGGAAGGUCGGAUGUGAAAGCCCUGGGCUCAACCCAGGAACUGCAUCCGAAACCGCCUCGCUCGAGUAUGAGAGAGGAAAGCGGAAUUCCUGGUGUAGAGGUGAAAUUCGUAGAUAUCAGGAGGAACACCUGCGGCGAAGGCGGCUUUCUGGCUCAUUACUGACGUUCAGGUACGAAAGCGUGGGUAGCAAACAGGAUUAGAUACCCUGGUAGUCCACGCUGUAAACGAUGUGUGCUGGAUGUCGGGGGUAUUCACCCCCUCGGUAUCGAAGUUAACGCGAUAAGCACACCGCCUGGGGAGUACGGCCGCAAGGUUGAA